UGCAUUUGAUCAAAUGACCACUCAAUGGCUGCGCUGUACCAGGUAUUAGGGGCAGAACAAGUGAGCGUACUUCUUGGCUCAAAAGACGAAGUUGGGCGUAAUCAGCAGUGCAAUCGAUGUUGUAUGAAAGAAUGUGAGCU
rnacentral:ribozyme from 1 species